UACGGAGGAUGCAAGCGUUAUCCGGAAUUAUUGGGCGUAAAGCGUCCGCAGGUGGCACUUCAAGUCUGCUGUCAAAGACCGGGGCUUAACCCUGGAGAGGCAGUGGAAACUGAAGCGCUAGAGUGUCGUAGGGGUAGAGGGAAUUCCUGGUGUAGCGGUGAAAUGCGUAGAGAUCAGGAAGAACAUCGGUGGCGAAAGCGCUCUACUGGACGACAACUGACACUCAGGGACGAAAGUGCGGGGAUCAAACAGG
rnacentral:rRNA from 1 species